CUCUCUUCGUCUCUCUCUCCCCUUUGCAUUCUCUCAUCUCUCUCAAAAAAAUCAUCAAACCCAGAAACCGGCCACCCCCAACCGCCGUCAACCACCCUAAACACCACCAUAAAUCCCAGUUCUCCGAUGAAUAUUCAUCGGAAUAUUCAUACCUUCAACACCCCCAACCCAGAAACCGAAAACCCAGAUGAAGAUCCGCAUGAUCUUCAUCUUUUCCGCUCCCAACCUUCAACCAUAAGCCCAGAAAAUCAAUAGGAAAACAAGAACCCUAACCCUAACGCAUGAACCCUAACCUAAUCUUCAUCCAAACCAUUAGAACCCUAACCUAACCAUAACACUUUUGAGAACCCUAGCCAAUUUCCAGAAACCAACAUUUAAACACACAUGCAAACAUCAACAACAACCCUAAGCUAAGUAUGAUUCGGCCAAGCUCUUGGUGAAGGGUCUUGACUUUCGCGGCAAGCUUAGGGUUUUUGGAUCUCCGAUUCCUCCCCUUCUCGUCUCAACUUCUCUUCUCAUUUAUAGUCUUAAGGUUAUUUUAGUUUUAGGAAAGAUUAGAUUAUUAGGGUUUGAUUUGUAAUUGACUCACGAAUUAAUAAAAAUUUGAUUUGAUUUUGUUCA